AGCCCGCAGCCUUCGCCCCGCACGCCCGCAGCCGCCCGGCCGCUGCCUCCGGGCCGCCUAUUAAUACCCUCCGCGCCGCUGGCCCGGCGCCAGCCGCCUCCUCCGGCAGCGGGGGGGCGGCGGAGGGGGGAGCCGCCCGCAGGCCCUCCCGGCACGGCUGCCCCCGGAGCCUGAGGGCACCGGCGGCGGGGAGGCCGCGAGUUGAUAUGGCACUGUGCAUCUCGGUGCCCUUUCUGUUCUCAUCACCUGUCCUCCUCCCUGAAGUUUGUUACAUGAAGAUGCAACCUUUUCAUCAAGAGAAGUUGUGAGCUCCAUUUUUAAAAUUACAAAGAAUUCUCAGCUUCAAAUGGAGUAAACAAAAGCUGCAGGACCCCUGUGCUUGUGAAAAUCAGAUCCUGGGGAAUUAAUAAUGGAAGUGUCAUGGUUACCUCUAUUGGUAUCAACAUCACCUAUGGAACUCAAACAUUAGUAGUCGGGUGCAGGUAACUGAGACAGGGAAGAAAAAGCAUUAAGAGGUUGAAGGGCAUUCAUUACCUUUUUCAUGCCUAGAGGAAUAAUGUUGCUGUGCUACUGGAGGCCAACCAAAGGUGAAGACUGAUCAUUCUAUACAGUAAAGCGAAGAAGUAGAUAGGCUCUCAAGUUGCAGCAUCUGAUGCCUUCAGAGGAACAAUAUUACAUUAGCUGGUUGGCAAAACACGUUGUUCAGAAUGUCAAGGCUCAAAACAACAAAACAUCAGUAGGUGAGGCUCAGACCCUAAAGGCAUCAGCAAAGAAAACAGCAUAAAGAAUACUGACUUUCAACAGCAAAAUAUGGCUGCAGGACCCUUCCUGGAGAUUAUAUUCUGUGUAUCACAGGUGAUCAAAUGUCAUUCCCUUGAGACACACAUAGGCCACAUCUUCUUUUGGACAGCACAUCGUCAGAUGUCCAAAGGUCUCUACAUACUGUGAAGAGUCUAGUGGGAGGAAAGCACGGGGAGCAGUUCACAAACAGCAAAAGCCUAGGCAUCCUUAGGAGGCAGGGCAAGGACCUGUCAAAUACCAGAACUCACUGCUGUCCCUGCUGGUGGUGCCAGGGGCAGGAUGAGCAGUAAACAACAACAGCCUGAGAGUCAGAAGCACUGAAAGGACAUCCCACCACUCCACUGCAGGCCUGGACUGGACAUCCAGGUCAGGCCUGUGGCAACCUCAUGUUGCUAGCUUUAUCCCUGCUUGCUGAUCAAAUGGAAACUCACCCAAAUUGCUGGCAAGUCUUUCGUGGUUUCAUAGACUCAGCUUAGAUACCCACGUUGUGUAUUUAAAUCUAUUAAAUCAUGUCUAUAUUUUCUUGAAAAAAAAAGGUACGAUAAUCCAAAUAGGGCUAUUUAUAACACUUGAGCAUGUAAACUUUCAAGAUUGGCUUUUGUUGAUUGAAGUCAAUAAUGAAAAUUACAGAUCUAACUGUUAUUAUUCCCAUGUUUAAUAAAAGAAGCCUAGCAACAUACAUUAUUAAAGGUAGACUACCUAAGGUGCCUGAUCUCAAAAUUGUAAUACUAUUUUUAUAUAACUGAUACAUCUUGUACAUUCUCCUUUAAUCAAUGUUGACAAACCAGGUCAUGUCAUAUCCCUUCUCUAAUGCUGGUUUUGGUGGGAGGAGAAAGAAUUUAAAACCUCAUAGGAUGAGGAACCUUGCACGAUAUGGGAAUCAACAUAUUGUUUCACCCAUUAUGUUUUAAUCAAAUAUUUUCCUGGGGUAGAUAUGUGCUCUGGGAAAGAUCCUCAUGAUAAAACAAUGCUUCACAAUUCUCAUUACUCAGGUUUAUGAAGUUGCUUGCCCCUUCUGUAAUUCAGAGAGAUUAAAUCACUCUUUCAAAUUAAAAAUAGGACGAUCAACUGAUUAGAACAGGACUUCUGUUUGCUCUUUGAAUCGGGCAGACAAAAGAGGGAGCAGAAGCAACAAGGAAAUCAGUUCAAGAAUUGUAACAAAUAAAUGAGGAUAUUUAAAAUCCCAGACUCUAAUUGUAUCUCAAGAUCUUAUUGAUUACAAAGAAAAAUACAAGUUUCAUUCUUAUGGUUUAUAACAUUACCAAAAUCUUUUGAUGGCCUGUUAUAUUUUGUUCUAGAUAGAGAAGCCAAGGGAAAAAUGGCUAAUAAAAGCAAGGUGUUUUCAUCCUUAUUAUGUGUCUGUACUCGAUGUUUUUUAAUAAACAA